rfam:Gorilla gorilla gorilla genomic chromosome, chr8, whole genome shotgun sequence
GCCGGGUGUGGUGGCGGGCGCCUGUAAACCCAGCUACUUGGGAGGCUGAGGCAGAAGAAUUGCUUGAACUCAGGAGGCUGAGGUGCAGUGAGCCGAGAGUGUGCUAUUGCACUUCAGCCUGGGUGACAGAGUGAAACUCCGUCUCAA